rnacentral:rRNA from 1 species
UACGUAGGGUGCGAGCGUUAAUCGGAAUUACUGGGCGUAAAGCGUGCGCAGGCGGUCUUGCAAGACAGUGGUGAAAUCCCCGGGCUCAACCUGGGAACUGCCAUUGUGACUGCAAGGCUGGAGUACGGCAGAGGGGGAUGGAAUUCCGCGUGUAGCAGUGAAAUGCGUAGAUAUGCGGAGGAACACCGAUGGCGAAGGCAGUCCCCUGGGCCUGUACUGACGCUCAUGCACGAAAGCGUGGGGAGCAAACAGGAUUAGAUACCCUGGUAGUCCACGCCCUAAACGAUGUCAACUGGUUGUUGGGGAUUUGUUUCCUCAGUAACGAAGCUAACGCGUGAAGUUGACCGCCUGGGGAGUACGGCCGCAAGGUUAAA